rnacentral:rRNA from 1 species
GACGAACGCUGGCGGCGUGCUUUACACAUGCAAGUCGAACGGUGAAGGUGGAGCUUGCUCCGCCGGAUCAGUGGCGAACGGGUGAGUAACACGUGGGCAACCUGCCCCUAACUUUGGGAUAACUACUCGAAAGAGUAGCUAAUACCGGAUAUGAAGUCUGUAGGCAUCUACGGACUUGGAAAGUUUUUCGGUUAGGGAUGGGCCCGCGGCCUAUCAGCUUGUUGGUGAGGUAGUGGCUCACCAAGGCGACGACGGGUAGCCGGCCUGCGAGGGCACCCGGCCACACUGGGACUGAGACACGGCCCAGACUCCUACGGGAGGCAGCAGUGGGGAAUAUGGCGCAAUGGGCGAAAGCCUGACGCAGCAACGCCGCGCGCGGGAUGAAGGCCUUCGGGUUGUAAACCGCUUUCAGCAGGGAAGAAGCGAAAGUGACGGUACCUGCAGAAGAAGCACCAGCUAACUACGUGCCAGCCGCCGCCGUAA